GUGGGGAAUAUUGGGCAAUGGGCGAAAGCCUGACCCAGCAACGCCGCGUGAGGGAAGAAGGCCUUCGGGUUGUAAACCUCUGUCCUUGGUGACGAAACAAAUGACGGUAGCCAAGGAGGAAGCCCCGGCUAACUACGUGCCAGCAGCCGCGGUAAUACGUAGGGGGCGAGCGUUGUCCGGAAUUACUGGGCGUAAAGGGUGCGUAGGUGGCCUUUUAAGUUGGAUGUGAAAUACCCGGGCUUAACUUGGGGGGUGCAUCUAAUACUGGAGGGCUAGAGUGCAGGAGAGGGAAGCGGAAUUCCUAGUGUAGCGGUGAAAUGCGUAGAUAUUAGGAGGAACACCAGUGGCGAAGGCGGCUUUCUGGACUGUAACUGACACUGAGGCACGAAAGCGUGGGGAGCAAACAGGAUUAGAUACCCCAGUAGUCC
rnacentral:rRNA from 1 species